GAUUAAGUUAUUAAGGGCGCACGGUGGAUGCCUUGGCACUAGAAGCCGAUGAAGGACGUUACUAACGACGAUAUGCUUUGGGGAGCUGUAAGUAAGCUUUGAUCCAGAGAUUUCCGAAUGGGGAAACCCAGCAUGAGUUAUGUCAUGUUAUCGAUAUGUGAAUACAUAGCAUAUCAGAAGGCACACCCGGAGAACUGAAACAUCUUAGUACCCGGAGGAAGAGAAAGAAAAUUCGAUUCCCUUAGUAGCGGCGAGCGAAACGGGAAGAGCCCAAACCAACAAGCUUGCUUGUUGGGGUUGUAGGACACUCUAUACGGAGUUACAAAGGACGACAUUAGACGAAUCAUCUGGAAAGAUGAAUCAAAGAAGGUAAUAAUCCUGUAGUCGAAAAUGUUGUCUCUCUUGAGUGGAUCCUGAGUACGACGGAGCACGUGAAAUUCCGUCGGAAUCUGGGAGGACCAUCUCCUAAGGCUAAAUACUCUCUAGUGACCGAUAGUGAACCAGUACCGUGAGGGAAAGGUGAAAAGCACCCCGGAAGGGGAGUGAAAUAGAACCUGAAACCGUGUGCUUACAAGUAGUCAGAGCCCGUUAAUGGGUGAUGGCGUGCCUUUUGUAGAAUGAACCGGCGAGUUACGAUUUGAUGCAAGGUUAAGCAGUAAAUGCUGUCUCUUAUACACAUCU
rnacentral:rRNA from 1 species